rnacentral:rRNA from 1 species
CUACGGGGGGCACCAGGCGAGAAAACUUUGCAAUGUGCGAAAGCACGACAAGGUUAAUCCGAGUGGUUUGUGCUAAACGAACCUUUUGACAGUCCUAGAAACACUGUUGAAUAAGGGGUGGGCAAGUUCUGGUGUCAGCCGCCGCGGUAAAACCAGCACCUCAAGUGGUCAGGAUGAUUAUUGGGCCUAAAGCAUUCGUAGCCGGCUCUGUAAGUUUUCGGUUAAAUCUGUACGCUCAACGUACAGGCUGCCGGGAAUACUGCAGAGCUAGGGAGUGGGAGAGGUAGACGGUACUCGGUAGGAAGGGGUAAAAUCCUUUGAUCUAUUGAUGACCACCUGUGGCGAAGGCGGUCUACCAGAACACGUCCGACGGUGAGGGAUGAAAGCUGGGGGAGCAAACCGGAUUAGAUACCCUUGUAGUC